rnacentral:rRNA from 1 species
AGAGUUUGAUCAUGGCUCAGAUUGAACGCUGGCGGCAGGCCUAACACAUGCAAGUCGAGCGGUAGCACAGAGAGCUUGCUCUCGGGUGACGAGCGGCGGACGGGUGAGUAAUGUCUGGGAAACUGCCUGAUGGAGGGGGAUAACUACUGGAAACGGUAGCUAAUACCGCAUAAUGUCGCAAGACCAAAGUGGGGGACCUUCGGGCCUCAUGCCAUCAGAUGUGCCCAGAUGGGAUUAGCUAGUAGGUGGGGUAACGGCUCACCUAGGCGACGAUCCCUAGCUGGUCUGAGAGGAUGACCAGCCACACUGGAACUGAGACACGGUCCAGACUCCUACGGGAGGCAGCAGUGGGGAAUAUUGCACAAUGGGCGCAAGCCUGAUGCAGCCAUGCCGCGUGUGUGAAGAAGGCCUUCGGGUUGUAAAGCACUUUCAGCGGGGAGGAAGGCGAUAAGGUUAAUAACCUCAUCGAUUGACGUUACCCGCAGAAGAAGCACCGGCUAACUCCGUGCCAGCAGCCGCGGUAAUACGGAGGGUGCAAGCGUUAAUCGGAAUUACUGGGCGUAAAGCGCACGCAGGCGGUCUGUCAAGUCGGAUGUGAAAUCCCCGGGCUCAACCUGGGAACUGCAUUCGAAACUGGCAGGCUAGAGUCUUGUAGAGGGGGGUAGAAUUCCAGGUGUAGCGGUGAAAUGCGUAGAGAUCUGGAGGAAUACCGGUGGCGAAGGCGGCCCCCUGGACAAAGACUGACGCUCAGGUGCGAAAGCGUGGGGAGCAAACAGGAUUAGAUACCCUGGUAGUCCACGCCGUAAACGAUGUCGAUUUGGAGGUUGUGCCCUUGAGGCGUGGCUUCCGGAGCUAACGCGUUAAAUCGACCGCCUGGGGAGUACGGCCGCAAGGUUAAAACUCAAAUGAAUUGACGGGGGCCCGCACAAGCGGUGGAGCAUGUGGUUUAAUUCGAUGCAACGCGAAGAACCUUACCUGGUCUUGACAUCCACAGAACUUUCCAGAGAUGGAUUGGUGCCUUCGGGAACUGUGAGACAGGUGCUGCAUGGCUGUCGUCAGCUCGUGUUGUGAAAUGUUGGGUUAAGUCCCGCAACGAGCGCAACCCUUAUCCUUUGUUGCCAGCGGUCAGGCCGGGAACUCAAAGGAGACUGCCAGUGAUAAACUGGAGGAAGGUGGGGAUGACGUCAAGUCAUCAUGGCCCUUACGACCAGGGCUACACACGUGCUACAAUGGCAUAUACAAAGAGAAGCGACCUCGCGAGAGCAAGCGGACCUCAUAAAGUAUGUCGUAGUCCGGAUUGGAGUCUGCAACUCGACUCCAUGAAGUCGGAAUCGCUAGUAAUCGUAGAUCAGAAUGCUACGGUGAAUACGUUCCCGGGCCUUGUACACACCGCCCGUCACACCAUGGGAGUGGGUUGCAAAAGAAGUAGGUAGCUUAACCUUCGGGAGGGCGCUUACCACUUUGUGAUUCAUGACUGGGGUGAAGUCGUAACAAGGUAACCGUAGGGGAACCUGCGGUUGGAUCACCU